UACGGGGGGGGCAAGCGUUGUUCGGAAUUACUGGGCGUAAAGGGCUCGUAGGCGGCCAACUAAGUCAGACGUGAAAUCCCUCGGCUUAACCGGGGAACUGCAUCUGAUACUGGAUGGCUUGAGUUCGGGAGAGGGAUGCGGAAUUCCAGGUGUAGCGGUGAAAUGCGCAGAUAUCGGGAGGAACACCAAUGGCGAAGGCAGCUUGCUGGGACGGUACUGGCGCUGAGGCGCGAAAGCGUGGGGAGCAAACAGG
rnacentral:rRNA from 1 species